AUUCCAAGCUUAACGGCGAAGAACCUUACCAGGUCUUGACAUCCUCUGACAACCCUAGAGAUAGGGCUUUCCCUUCGGGGACAGAGUGACAGGUGGUGCAUGGUUGUCGUCAGCUCGUGUCGUGAGAUGUUGGGUUAAGUCCCGCAACGAGCGCAACCCUUGAUCUUAGUUGCCAGCAUUCAGUUGGGCACUCUAAGGUGACUGCCGGUGACAAACCGGAGGAAGGUGGGGAUGACGUCAAAUCAUCAUGCCCCUUAUGACCUGGGCUACACACGUGCUACAAUGGACAGAACAAAGGGCUGCGAGACCGCAAGGUUUAGCCAAUCCCACAAAUCUGUCCUCAGUUCGGAUCGCAGUCUGCAACUCGACUGCGUGAAGCUGGAAUCGCUAGUAAUCGCGGAUCAGCAUGCCGCGGUGAAUACGUUCCCGGGCCUUGUACACACCGCCCGUA
rnacentral:rRNA from 1 species